AGAAGCUUGCUUCUCUUGAGAGCGGCGGACGGGUGAGUAAAGCCUAGGAAUCUGCCUGGUAGUGGGGGAUAACGUUCGGAAACGGACGCUAAUACCGCAUACGUCCUACGGGAGAAAGCAGGGGACCUUCGGGCCUUGCGCUAUCAGAUGAGCCUAGGUCGGAUUAGCUAGUUGGUGAGGUAAUGGCUCACCAAGGCGACGAUCCGUAACUGGUCUGAGAGGAUGAUCAGUCACACUGGAACUGAGACACGGUCCAGACUCCUACGGGAGGCAGCAGUGGGGAAUAUUGGACAAUGGGCGAAAGCCUGAUCCAGCCAUGCCGCGUGUGUGAAGAAGGUCUUCGGAUUGUAAAGCACUUUAAGUUGGGAGGAAGGGCAUUAACCUAAUACGUUAGUGUUUUGACGUUACCGACAGAAUAAGCACCGGCUAACUCUGUG
rnacentral:rRNA from 1 species